rnacentral:rRNA from 1 species
AUACGUAGGGUGCGAGCGUUGUCCGGAAUUACUGGGCGUAAAGAGCUCGUAGGUGGUUUGUCGCGUCGUCUGUGAAAUUCCGGGGCUUAACUCCGGGCGUGCAGGCGAUACGGGCAUAACUUGAGUACUGUAGGGGAGACUGGAAUUCCUGGUGUAGCGGUGAAAUGCGCAGAUAUCAGGAGGAACACCGGUGGCGAAGGCGGGUCUCUGGGCAGUAACUGACGCUGUGGAGCGAAAGCAUGGGUAGCGAACAGGAUUAGAUACCCUGGUAGUCCAUGCCGUAAACGGUGGGCGCUAGGUGUAGGGGUCUUCCACGACUUCUGUGCCGUAGCUAACGCAUUAAGCGCCCCGCCUGGGGAGUACGGCCGCAAGGCUAAAACUCAAAGGAAUUGACGGGG